GAUGAACGCUGGCUGCAUGCCUAACACAUGCAAGUCGAGCGACCACACGGGGAGUUCUUUCCUUUGCCGUUGGCGACGGACGGACGGGUAACUCAUGCAUAACCAACCUAUCCUUCUGGGCGGACUACGGGGGCCAAGAUCUGAUACCUGCUGAUAUUUUUAACUGGAUGGCUCCCUAUUGAUAGGCGGUUUUUCUGUCAGUUGUAGAUGGAUCCGUGCCGCAUUAGCUAGUUGGUAAGGUCACGGCUUACCAAGGCAACGAUGCGUAGCGGACCUGAGAGGGGGAUCAGGCACACUGGAACGGAGACACGGUCCAGACUCCUACGGGAGGCAGCAGUAGGGAAUCGUCCACAAUGGGCGAAAGCCUGACCGAGCACCGCCGCGUGGGUGAUGAAGGGCUUCGGAUAGGAAAUCUCUGUUGUUAGGAAAGAACAAAAGUGUAAGUAACGUGGGACGUCUUGACGGUACCGAAUGAAUAAGCAACGGCUAACUACGUG
rnacentral:rRNA from 1 species